rnacentral:rRNA from 1 species
GGCAGCGCAGCUACCAUGCAGUCGAGCGGAACGAUGGAAGCUUGCUUCCAGGCGUCGAGCGGCGGACGGGUGAGUAAUGCAUAGGAAUCUGCCCGGUAGUGGGGGAUAACCUGGGGAAACCCAGGCUAAUACCGCAUACGUCCUACGGGAGAAAGCAGGGGAUCUUCGGACCUUGCGCUAUCGGAUGAGCCUAUGUCGGAUUAGCUAGUUGGUGAGGUAAUGGCUCACCAAGGCCGCGAUCCGUAGCUGGUCUGAGAGGAUGAUCAGCCACAUCGGGACUGAGACACGGCCCGAACUCCUACGGGAGGCAGCAGUGGGGAAUAUUGGACAAUGGGCGAAAGCCUGAUCCAGCCAUGCCGCGUGUGUGAAGAAGGCUUUCGGGUUGUAAAGCACUUUCAGUGGGGAAGAAAUCCUCGGGGCCAAUACCCUCGAGGGAGGACAUCACCCACAGAAGAAGCACCGGCUAACUCCGUGCCAGCAGCCGCGGUAAUACGGAGGGUGCGAGCGUUAAUCGGAAUUACUGGGCGUAAAGCGCGCGUAGGCGGCGUGAUAAGCCGGUUGUGAAAGCCCCGGGCUCAACCUGGGAACGGCAUCCGGAACUGUCAGGCUAGAGUGCAGGAGAGGAAGGUAGAAUUCCCGGUGUAGCGGUGAAAUGCGUAGAGAUCGGGAGGAAUACCAGUGGCGAAGGCGGCCUUCUGGACUGACACUGACGCUGAGGUGCGAAAGCGUGGGUAGCAAACAGGAUUAGAUACCCUGGUAGUCCACGCCGUAAACGAUGUCGACUAGCCGUUGGGGUCCUUGUGACCUUUGUGGCGCAGUUAACGCGAUAAGUCGACCGCCUGGGGAGUACGGCCGCAAGGUUAAAACUCAAAUGAAUUGACGGGGGCCCGCACAAGCGGUGGAGCAUGUGGUUUAAUUCGAUGCAACGCGAAGAACCUUACCUACUCUUGACAUCGUGCGAACUUUCCAGAGAUGGAUUGGUGCCUUCGGGAACGCACAGACAGGUGCUGCAUGGCCGUCGUCAGCUCGUGUUGUGAAAUGUUGGGUUAAGUCCCGUAACGAGCGCAACCCUUGUCCCUAUUUGCCAGCACGUAAUGGUGGGAACUCUAGGGAGACUGCCGGUGACAAACCGGAGGAAGGUGGGGACGACGUCAGGUCAUCAUGGCCCUUACGAGUAGGGCUACACACGUGCUACAAUGGCCGGUACAAAGGGUUGCGAAGCCGCGAGGUGGAGCUAAUCCCGAAAAGCCGGUCUCAGUCCGGAUCGGAGUCUGCAACUCGACUCCGUGAAGUCGGAAUCGCUAGUAAUCGUGAAUCAGAAUGUCACGGUGAAUACGUUCCCGGGCCUUGUACACACCGCCCGUCACACCAUGGGAGUGGACUGCACCAGAAGUGGUUAGCCUAACUUCGGAGGGCGAUCACCACGUGGGAAAUA